GAUGAAGAACGCAGCGAAAUGCGAUACGCAAUGUGAAUUGCAGAAUUCAGUGAAUCAUCGAAUCUUUGAACGCAUAUUGCGCUCUCUGGUAUUCCGGAGAGCAUGCUUGUUUGAGUAUCAGUAAACACCUCAACUCCCUUUUCUUUUUUGAAAUUGGAGCUGGACUUGAGUGAUCCCAACGCUUUCUUCCAAGAAAGUGGCGGGUUGCUUGAAAUGCAGGUGCAGCUGAACUUUUCUCUGAGCUAUAAGCAUAUCUAUUUAGUCUGCCUAAAAAACAGAUUAUUACCUUUGCUGCAGCUAACAUAAAGGAGACUAGUUCUUGUGCUGACUGAUGCAGGAUUCACAGAGACAGCUUCGGCUGACUUUGUAAACUCGAUCUCAAAUCAAGUAAGACUACCCGCUGAACUUAAGCAUAUCAAUAAGCGGAGGA
rnacentral:misc_RNA from 1 species